GGAGGGGUGCCAGAGUGGUCGAAUGGGCUCGCCUGGAAAGCGUGUGUACCUCGAAAGAGGUACCGAGGGUUCGAAUCCCUCCCCCUCCG
rnacentral:tRNA from 1 species